CGUGAAGGUCGGGAAAGCUGGCCGCAAUACCAGCAUUUCGGAGGAAGAGGCGAGCACAGUAUUGCAAUUCAAACCAGCCUGGUCUACACAGCGAAUUCCAGGCCAGAAGAGGGCACCAGAUCUUAUUACAGAUGGUUGAGAGCCACCAUGUGGUUGCUGGGGAUUGAACUCAGGACCUCUGGAAGAACAGUCAGUGCUCUUAACCUCUGAGCCAUCUCUCCAGCCCGAACUGCCAAAGACUUUUCUACAGAGAAAACUUAUGUGGAGAGAUGGUGAAGCUGGCAUGGUUGUAAUGCUGCUUAUCCCUGCGCUGCCCCAGCUGCUCUUCAGAGGAAACAGUGACAAAUGGGUUAUUCUGUUGUAUGGGUGACAUACUGGUUUUAACUUAAUGUGAUGGGGGUGCUGGGGUUUUUGUUCACGUUUCUAGUACUUCUGUGUAAUAUGACUGCUUAAGAGGCCUAUUGCAAAGACCUUUAAGUUCUCAGCAUUCUUUUGCUUCUCAGGGGUGUUCACCAUGGUCUACAUUUGUGGUAUUUUGUAGCUUAUUAAUUUAACAGGCUGUCAGAGCUGCUGGAAAUAUCUUCUCCUUGAAAUACAGUGCAUGUAGAGGUGUUCCUUAAUUUCAGGUGAGGACAGUGCCCUGGCUUCGUGGCUGGCAGCUGAGUCCUCUUUUACUGUGAGUCAGCCCAGGAAGUCUCUUCACUGCCUCUGUGAGUAGAAUGUGCAAGUCUCUCUUUUUCUGGAUUUGUUUUAGAUAAUAUGAUGUCUAAACUAGGCACUAGUGAUGAAGUAUCUGAUGAUAUUCUCACCGAGUAUCUGGUGGGAAUCCUGAGCCUCAGCUAUGCUCGCAUCAAGCCUUGUAAUUGCUUUUUGCCUUAGUUUACAAUGGAAACUAACAGGAGAUACAGUACAGUUUGUCCUCGAACCCCUUCAUGCACUGCCAAGUCCAGUUCUCAACAGUAUCUGCUAUCUCUUUGUCUUUGUCAGCCAUUUUUCUUGGUGCAAAAGUUUCUCCUGAUGUUUCAACAUCUGCUGCAGGUUUGCCAAAAUUCAAUGUCCUAAUUUCCCGGGAGCCGGGAACUGUGAUGCAAUGAGGAUGUUCCGCUAGGGCAGGUUAGCUAGGGGGUGAGCUGUUGGGUUCUUCCACAGACCCUGACCCUGGCACUGGCUUCAUGGUCAGUGGAGACUCAAGGGCACAAAUGGCACUUGACAUUUUCCCUGCAUAAGAUACUUUGAAACAACCAUAUUUAGCUACAUUAACUAAGAAGGAUGGUAUAGCUGCUAUGUAGAUGUCCUUGCAGAAGGAUUUUGGGGUAAGGUUGAGGUGGCUGUUUGUAUAGGGUGUAGUCCCACUAGAGUCUUUUGUGGUGAUUACUAUUAGACUAAUAUAUGUGAUACUCUUCCCUUAUGACCUUCUGGCUUAAAAGCUUUAUCUGUUUAUGGAAAGAAUGGGUAAACUUUUUACUUUCACAUAGAAUAUUUACUUUUUAUAUAUUUUGAACCCCAGGAACUUGAGUUACAGAUGGUUAUGAACCACCGUGUGGGUGCUGGAUAUCAAGCACAGGCCCUCUAGAACAGCUCGUACUCUUAACCAUUGAGCCAUCUCUCUAGCCCCAUUUUUCAUUUUUAAAAAUGUAAUGAUAAUAGAUGAAAACCAGUCUACUGUAAUAAUGUCUCCAGAACUUAUAGCAGAGUUCUUACCAUUUGACUAAUGUCUCCCCUGACUUCUGGAGACCACUCUUCUGCUCUUGUUUCUGUGAGUUCAACUUUUAAAGAUUCAACUAAGUGAGAUUGUGUAUUGAUUACCUGUAUUCGUGUGUCUGCUUUAUUUCAAUUAGCAUGAUGUCCUCUAGGUUCAUCCUAGAGGUUGUAAAUGACACUAAUUCCUUCAUUUUAAGGAUAGAAUAAGGUCUGAAGAGAUGGCUUAUCGAGUAAGAGCACUCACUGCUCUUGCAGAGGACCUGGAUUCUGUUUGCUGCACCCACAAUGUAAGUGUCUUUAACUCUAGUUCCAGAGGAUCCAGUACCCUCUUUUGUCUCCACAGGCAUCAGGAGAACAUAGGGUGCACACUAUACUUGUAAGGAAAACACUCAUAAAAGGAGUUUGGGAGUGCUCCUCUCAAUUUUUAAAAAUAGUUUAAGGUUUGGCUGUGGAUCUUUUUUGAGAGUCUGGUAGACUCUGCUAUGAACCCAUCUGGCCCUGAAUUUUUUAGCUGCAAGGCUUUUCAUUACCAUUUCAAUGUCCUCAUUUGUUGUGUGUCUGUUUAGGUUGUUGGCUUCUUGGUUUUGUGAUGGUCCUCUCUUUCUUUCUUUUGGUUAGUUGGGACAAGGAUCUGCCAGUCUUUAUUUUCUCAAAAACCAGCUCUUAGAUUUGUUGAGUAUUUGCACUAUUUAUUUCAUUUCUAUUACAUUAAUUUCUGCUCUGAUUUUUAUUAUUUCUUGCCCUCAACUGGUUUUGGAUUUGGUUAGUUCUUACUUUUUCCAAAGUUUGAGUUGCAUCAUUAAGUUUUUAAUUUAUGCUCUUUCUGAUUUUUUUAAUGUAGACAUUUACAGCUGUAAGUUUACCCUAUGGAGUUGAUUUAAAUAUGUCCUAGAGGUUUUGCUGUGUUGUAAAUUUCAUUUAGUUCCAGAAAGUUUUUUUAUUUCUUUCUUGAUUUCUUCUUUGACCCAUUCAUCAUUUAGCAAUGAAUUGUUUAAUUUAUAUGGAUUUUUGUAUCUACAAGAAACUUGUUUGCUGUCAAUUUUAAGUUUUAUUGUAUUAUGGUCAGAUAGGAUAAACAAAACUAUUUCAAACUCUUUGAACUUGUAAGGAUUUGUUUUAUGUCACAAGAUGUGGUCUUAUUGUAGAGACGUGAUGGAAUGCUGCUGAGCAGAAUGAAUCAAAGACCUAAACAUGAGACAGGGAAACUGCUGGAAGAAAACUAGGCAGUACCCUACAUGAUAUAGGUGUAGGAAAGCACUUUUGGAAAAGGACUCCAUUGCACAGGAAUUCGGAUCAAUAAUUGACAUGUGGGACCUCAUAAAACAAGCUUCUGCAUGUCUAAUUAAACAGUCAAGUGAAAAGGAAGCCCAUAGUAGAGAAUUUGGAGGAGAACCUAUAGCUAUAACUUUCCUAAAACAUCUCUAACCACACUAUAUUUAUCCUCAUACCCACAUGUAAGUGUGGUCCUUACCCCUCAUCAAGGAAGCUUUCUGUGCCACAGAUGGAAACCGUUAUGGAAACCAUAACCAAUCAAGUCCCAGUUGAUCCAUCUACAAAGCAACUCCUGGACCCAAGGCUUAGGACACAUCACUGAAGAGUGGACAGAAAGAUUGUAAGAGCCAGGGGAUCAGGGAAUUUGAUGUGAGAGUGUGUCUCCUAGGAAUGUCAGAAGUUACACUCAGAAAGUCUCACCAGCAGGACUGCCCAAACCUGACCUGAAAGGGGCAAUAAUAGACAUGCAAAUAUGGAUGGGGUAGAGACCACAAGGCCUCAACCCUACACAAAGAGCUACAGGAAAUUGAGGAAUGCUGAGAGUGGGAGAGAGAGUGUUCCCCAGGGACGAGCACACCAACUGGUUUAGCAAUACCAAAUGGUCAGCCCUGAAGACAUACAAGCAACAUUGUACAGACUAAGCAAGUUUUAUUUAUGUAUUUAGGAAUAUAUAUGUAUGUAACAACAAUUAAUGAAAAAAAGGCCAUGAAUUUGAAAGAGUGCAAGGAGGGAUAUAUAAGAGGCUUAGAGGGGGAAGAAAAAGGAAGGAGGAAAUGAUGUAAUUAUAUUAUAAUCUCAAAAACUAAAAGAAAUACUUUAAAAAAGCAUUUUCCUUUAUAAUGUUCUAAACUGGUGUCUGUUGUCAUGUUUGCCUGAUCAUUUCUGAUUCUGUUCACUUGUGCUCUUUCUUUCCUUUGGUUAGUUAGGCCAGUGAUCUGAUGAUCUUGUUUAUCUUUUCAAGGAAACAGCCCUGCGAAUUGUUGACAGACUGUCUUGGCCUUUCAUACUAGUGUUUUUGGGAUGAGACUUGGCAUGCUGUUGCUGGUGUGUUUGAUGUGAGCUUAGGUUUAUUUUGUUUCUGUCCAAGAUUGGUUGAUUUCAGAGCAGGUAUGUGGAACUGGUAGGUUGAUCCUUCAGACACUCAGAGUUGAUUUUUUACUAGACUGAGUCCACUUCUGUAUUAAACAAGAAAAUGUGUGAGUGGGACAAAAUGGUUGGAUCUCAUUUGUCUGAUGUGCAAUUCAUACUACUCAAGAUUUAUCUGGGAAUAUGAGGAUUUCAUUGGUAGGCUGGAUAAUUCACUCACCACCUUAGGCUGUUUAUACAGGCUGUGGAACAGAGAUGAAGAUUUGGGAUGGCCUGGAUGUUCUAGGGACUUAACUGUCUGACUGAGGCUUGACCUGAGGAUUGGGGAUAGGAUGAACAACUGAGGUUCUAGGAACUCAUCAGGUUUUGCCAGCACACAAAUAUAUAUCCUAGGAUAGGCAUGGAGGUUAGAUGUGAUACAGGCUGGGUAGAGUUCAGGAGACUCACUAGACUGGAUUAGCACUGGAUGUGUGACCUAGGCUAAGUCUGGAGGUUUGAUAUAGCAUGAGUAGGAUAGAAUCUGGUGACCCCAACACCCACGCUUGGCACAGAAGUUUUGCUUCUGGGUCCAUGCCUACAGAUAGGGAAUGGUAUAAAGCUCUUCAGACUAGGCUGGGACACUCAGCAUAAAAAUUGGCCUGGGUGUGGGAACUGGGGAGGGUGUAGCCAGAAUAGGGUCAGGUGGAGUCAUCAUCACUAGGCCAGGGCACAGGAUGUGGAGCAUGGGCUGGUCCUGGAGAGCCCCAUUAACAUUUCUUUCUUUAGUAUUUCUCCUCUCUUCCUCUCCCCUCCCCUUUCCUCCCCUCCCCUCCCCUCUCCUCUCCUCUCCUCUCCUUUCCUUUCCCUUCCUAUUAAGGCUGGAUAAGGCAACCCAGUAGGAAGGAAGCGUCCCAAAAGCAGGUAACAGAGUCUGAGAUAGUCCCUGCUCCCACUGUUAGGAGUCCCACAAGAUCUAGUUACACAACUGUAAAAUAUGUGCAGUGGACCCAAGUCAGUACCAUGCAGACUUUCUGGUUGGCGGUUCAGUCUCUGUGAGCCCCUGUGCACCCAGGUGAGUUGAUUCUGUCAGUUUUCUUGUGAUGUCCUUGACCCCCCCUGACUCCCCUAAUCCUUCCUCCCCCUCUUCCACAGAAUUUCCUGAGCUACAUCUAAUGUUUGUCUGUGGGUUUCUGCAUCUGUUUCCGUCAGAAACUGGGUGAAGCCUCUUUGAUAACGAUUAGGCUAGACAAUAAUCUAUGAGUGUAGUGUACAGCAGAAUGUCAUUAGGAAUCAUUUUGUUGACUUUUUUAUUUUUUGCCAGUCAUGUUUGGCUCUAUCUUAGGUCUCUGGGAUGUUCAGCCUGUGGGUCCUGGCCCUCCAGGCAGUUUCAGGGGUGGGCUCCCUCUCAUGAUAUGGGUCUCAAGCUGGGCCAGUCAUUGGUUGGCUGCUCCCAUAAUUUCUGCACCACCUUUACCCUAGCAUAUCUUGUAAAAGGGCAAAUUGUAGGUCAAAGGUUAUGUAUGUGACUGGGUUAGGGUUCCAGUCCCUCCAGUGGAAGUCUUGCUUGGUUACAGGAGAUGGCUGGUUCAGGCUCCAUAUCCACCAUUGCUAGGAGUCUUAGCUAUAGAUUUCUAGGAGUUUCCAUUGUACUAGGUUUCUAGCUCAUCUCAGAGAUACCCCCUGACUAUGUUCAUAGCAGCAUUAUUCAUAAUAGAUAGAGAUUGGAAACAACCUAUAUGUCCAUCAACCAAAGAAUGGAUAAAGAAAAUGUGGUACAUUUACACAAUGGAGUAUUACUCAGCUGUUAAAAACAAUGGCAUCAUGAGAUUUUCAGGCAAAUGGAUGGAACUAGCAAAGAUCAUCCUGCAUGAGGUAACCCAAAUAUAGAAAGACAAGUAUGGUACGUACUCACUUAUAAGUGGAUAUUAGCUGUAAAGUAAAGGAUAACCAUGCUACAAUCCAUAGCCUAAGAGAAGCUAAGUUAAAAGGAGGGCAAAGGUGAGAGGGGGCACAUGAAUCUCACUGUGAAGGGGAAAUAGAAUAGAUAUCACAGGUGAAUUGGGGGAGGGGUCUGGAUGAGGGUGGGCAUGGGAACAGGAGGCAUCAGGUA